UUUUUUUUUAAAUAUUUAUUUAUAUAUUUUUAACUGUGAAAUGCAAAUUGAUGCUACUAAUGAGUAUUUGUAUGAAGAUAAUAUUUUAAGUUUUUUUUUAUGAGCUGGAUCGUGGUUUCUGUUAAAAGUCGAGUUAAGACUAGUUAAUAAACGUUCUACGUUUUAGCCAUAUUAUUAUUAUUAUCAUUAUUAUUAUGUAGUUGAAUAAAACAAAUCAGCAAUAUGUUUAGUAUAGCUUUAUUUCAAUAUUUGAUAGUAUUUAUAUGGACGUCAUCACGUGACGUACAUAAGUGAAUCAGUUUUUCGAAUGAACUGUGCAAAAAGGAACCAUUUCACGGAAAAGGAUCGAACUUCACAGUACUAAAUAUAAUGCCUGCGUCCCAGAGUUCAUACUGUCCAUCCUAAAUUCUAUGUGAUAUUAGUAAUUUUCAAUACUAUUUAGAGCAGAUAGGGUGGAUAGUAUGCACAUUGGGACGCAGGGAAUGAAUCAUUCUUUAGGAAAUGGUUCUCUUCAGUGAAUCGAUCAAACGGCUCGGCAACCGGUUUGAAUCGUUUCGCUAUUCAGGGUGAUUUAACUGAGACGGUUCACUUCAUAUUUUUGAAGCGGUUUCUCAGUCGGCAAACGUAGUAGAAAACUUCGAGAAAGACAAAAAAAACAUAUAAAAAGCAUACUGAACUCUAUACAAUCUUCUUGAACGCAAACCUGCAAGUUCGUCCUUUAGUUUUUCCAGCGAUGAAGAUUCAUUAUGACCAACACGUGCACGUGCGUCCCGAGAACCCCUCUUACUGCAGGCGUCUGCUGGUUGGAAGAAGUGGAAAGACAUGAUAAAUAGAGAAAGCGUUUGGAAGCACAUUAAUGAGCUCAGUGCUUAUCCAUACGACCAUCGGGGGACAAAUCCAAUUUCGCCUGUAAAAUAAUGACAGCCCCUUCUUGGACAUCAAAAGAGACAGGCCAAAUUACAGCCAACACUUGAUCAUCUGCUUCAAAAUGACCAUGCAUUUCUCUAGAGGGAGGCUAAAACCAGCUUUGAUAGUUUGCCUCUGGACAAGAAUGAAUUUGUGGUAGAGAACUCCAGAUGCUGUUAUUAUGUAGAGAAUGCCCUACACUUGAG
ensembl:lncRNA